rnacentral:rRNA from 1 species
UACGAAGGGGGCUAGCGUUGUUCGGAUUUACUGGGCGUAAAGCGCACGUAGGCGGAUCGUUAAGUCAGGGGUGAAAUCCCGGAGCUCAACUCCGGAACUGCCUUUGAUACUGGCGAUCUUGAGGCUGGAAGAGGUUAGUGGAAUUCCCAGUGUAGAGGUGAAAUUCGUAGAUAUUGGGAAGAACACCAGUGGCGAAGGCGGCUAACUGGUCCGGUACUGACGCUGAGGCGCGAAAGCGUGGGGAGGCAAACAGG